rnacentral:rRNA from 1 species
UGGGGAAUAUUGCACAAUGGGCGCAAGCCUGAUGCAGCCAUGCCGCGUGGAUGAAGAAUGCCUUCGGGUUGUAAAGUACUUUCAGUCGGGAGGAAGGUGGUAAGGUUAAUAACCUUGGCAAUUGACGUUACCGACAGAAGAAGCACCGGCUAACUCCGUGCCAGCAGCCGCGGUAAUACGGAGGGUGCAAGCGUUAAUCGGAAUUACUGGGCGUAAAGCGCACGCAGGCGGUUGAUUGAGUCAGAUGUGAAAUCCCCGGGCUUAACCCGGGAAUUGCAUCUGAUACUGGUCAGCUAGAGUCUUGUAGAGGGGGGUAGAAUUCCAUGUGUAGCGGUGAAAUGCGUAGGGAUGUGGAGGAAUACCGGUGGCGAAGGCGGCCCCCUGGACAAAGACUGACGCUAAGGUGCGAAAGCGUGGGGAGCAAACAGG